GGACAACCUACCCUUUGGACGGGGAUAAACCCGGGAAACUGGGUAUAAUACCCGAUAGAUCUCAUUGGCUGGAAUGCCUUGAGCUCGAAAGCUCCGGCGCCAAAGGAUGGGUCUGCGGCCUAUCAGGUAGUAGUGGGUGUAGUGUACCUACUAGCCUACGACGGGUACGGGUUGUGAGAGCAAGAGCCCGGAGAUGGAUUCUGAGACACGAAUCCAGGCCCUACGGGGUGCAGCAGGCGCGAAAACUUUACAAUGCUGGCAACAGCGAUAAGGGAACCUCGAGUGCCAGGUUACAAAUCUGGCUGUCGUUGUGUCUAAAAAACACGAUAUAGCAAGGGCCGGGCAAGACCGGUGCCAGCCGCCGCGGUAACACCGGCGGCUCGAGUGGUAACCGUUAUUAUUGGGUCUAAAGGGUCUGUAGCCGGCCGGAUAAGUCUCUUGGGAAAUCCGGCAGCUUAACUGUCGGGCUUUCAGGAGAUACUGUUCGGCUCGAGGCCGGGAGAGGUGAGAGGUACUUCAGGGGUAGGGGUGAAAUCUUGUAAUCCUUGAAGGACCACCAGUGGCGAAGGCGUCUCACCAGAACGGACCUGACGGCAAGGGACGAAAGCUAGGGGCACGAACCGGAUUAGAUACCCGGGUAGUCCUAGCCGUAAACGAUACUCGCUAGGUGUCGGCCACGGUGCGACCGUGGUCGGUGCCGUAGGGAAGCCGUGAAGCGAGCCACCUGGGAAGUACGGCCGCAAGGCUGAAACUUAA
rnacentral:rRNA from 1 species